AAUGAUGUGUCUGAAAAAAGAAUUAUUUUGAUAGAAUAAAACAUGCAGAUAUGCCUUCAUUA
rnacentral:tRNA from 1 species